rnacentral:rRNA from 1 species
UACGUAGGGUGCAAGCGUUGUCCGGAAUUAUUGGGCGUAAAGAGCUCGUAGGCGGUUUGUUGCGUCGGCUGUGAAAUCCCGAGGCUCAACCUCGGGUCUGCAGUGGGUACGGGCAGACUGGAGUGCGGUAGGGGAGAAUGGAAUUCCUGGUGUAGCGGUGGAAUGCGCAGAUAUCAGGAGGAACACCGAUGGCGAAGGCAGUUCUCUGGGCCGUAACUGGCGCUGAGGAGCGAAAGCGUGGGGAGCGAACAGG